GUAUGGAUGACCGAGUGGUCUAAGGUGCCAGACUCAAGGUUUGACUCCUUCCUGAGUUAAGGGACUUCUGGUCUCCAAAUGGAGGCGUAGGUUCAAAUCCCACUCCUGAAACA
rnacentral:tRNA from 1 species